UAUGUGAAGUCUAUACGGCUAUAUUCUUUCAUAUUAAAUUUUCAUUCACUUUCUCACAUACUCCUUUCAGAACUAAUUUACACUUACCUUCAGUAAUUUCCUAUUAAUUUCCUAAUAAUUAAACCUUUCAACUUGAAAGUUUCAAGUAUAAUUCCACCUCAUUUGGGUUCGAGUAACUAUGCCAUUGGUUCCAAGACUUUGGGAUAAGUGAGAUAAAAUCGGGACGAAAAUGUGAACACAAAUGAAACGACCAUGAUCAAUUAUAGAAAGAACAAACAUUAAAAGCCAACACCAUUUU